GCAUUUAAUUACUUAUUUACUUCUUAGUUUUCUAGUUUUUACAGUUUAGUUAGGUUUUCUAGUAAGGUAGUUUGCUAAUUUUAUAGAAACUUUGUUUUGUACUGCUUCUUUUUGUUAUUUCUCAGUUUUAAUCUUCAAUUGACAUUGUUUUAUACUUGUUUGCAUAUUCAUAUCAUGAUUCCAUCCAUUGUAUAUCAUAGAAACACAUUCUGCAUAACAAAGCAUGCAUUGCACAAGCUGUUAAAACGCUGAUACACCCUGGUUUGUUGCCAAAUCUUGUUUAAAAGUGUAUUAUGUGAAUUUUGAGGGUUUUUAUAGUUCUUAAUUCAUAUCAUGUAUAAUUUUGGGUAUAUAAACAUGUUCCAUUCAUUAGUUUUGCAUAAAACACAAUUAUAGUCUCAUAGGCAUUUCAUCAAACACCUUGUUCAUUUUCUGUUUUAACUUUUAGGCAAUAACAGUUUGGUAUUUCGCAUUUCUGCACUGUUUUAGGUAGAAUUAGAACCCAAAUCAUGUUCCAUUCAUAUUUUCAUGAUGAUUAUCAUAUUAUUCACUCAUCAUACAUCUUUUUAACAACAUUUGUGCAUUGAUUUGAGCAUUCCUUCAUAAUUUGCUGAUAUGCAUUGUCACAUUCAGUGCAUCUGUUUAUCUUGUUUUUAGUUCCUUUGCAUGAGUUUCUUUCAUUUUUUUUUAGAUUAGUUAUCAUGUUUUGUAGUUUCCCCAUCCUUUGCUUUAUUUUCAUGAUUAGACUCACAAAUUAGCUACGGAGUUCCUCGGAUUGAUACUCAGGUUUCACCUACGCUACAUUAAGGGAGAAUUUGAUUUUGUUUGGAGUUAUAUGUGACUAUGGCCUGUAACAAUUUUGUUUAAUUGGGUGUCUUGUAUCGUCUAGUGCUAACAAUCAGAACCAAGGAACCCAAGUUAAUUCUUGAUUGAAUGACUGUAUAGAGAAGCAAGAAAGCAGUAACCAAAGUUCUUGUUAAAUGGAAGCAUCAAUUGCUUGAAGAUGCUAUGUGAGAGUUCUUCUAUGAUCUCCAAAAGAACUAUCUAGAGUUUAAUCCUUGAGUACAAUGAUUUUGUUAACGAGGGUCCUGCUGCAUGUGGAUUCCCCAACUACAAAGACAACUUCUUAGGUGGUUUUGCAUCUUACAUUCGAGAGGAACCGUUAUACAUGUUGAAAUUAUUGCUAUUAUCUUGACUUUGGAAAUAGUGGAGAAAAAGUGGUGGAAUUAUGUCUAGCUCGAAUGUGACUCUCAAUUAGUCAUCUUAAAAACUUAAUAAUGACUAUAUCGUUCCUUGGAAGCUCUGUGCGAGAUGGCGUAAAUGUCUGCUUAUUUUCUCUUUUUUAAUGUUUUGCUCCUCUUAUAUUUUUAAAGAAGGAAACAAUUUUACAGAUAAACUAGGGAAUUAUAAUUACUAGAGUGAUGUGCCAAAUUUUGUAGUUAUGAUUUCUAUGGGAAUAGAACUAGCAUGUGGUUCUUUCAUUGUGUAAUUUUAUAUUUUUUGAGUAUUGGUCCCUUCGAAAUCUUUAGUCCCUUUUCUCCUUCAAUAAAGACUUAUAAUGUAGUUUUAGACAUCAUACUUUCCG
rnacentral:sRNA from 1 species